rnacentral:lncRNA from 1 species
AAAGAACCAAGCCCUGUGUGUGCCAACAGAAUAGUCACAAUAGUCACGGAUGCUGCAGCUGCCAGCAUGUAAGUUAACAAGAAGAGAGGCCAGGAGCCAUGAGUCAACAUUUGAGAACAUCCUGAGAAAGAGAAGAAUCACCUAGAAACCAGGUCCCUUCACUCAACACUGGAGAGCAUUUACAUAUUGCCCGAUAUCCAAAAAUCAACUUUUAAAAAAUAUUUUAAGGGGAAAAAAGGAUGUCUACCACAGCAUGGCUUGCCAAGCAGUUCCAUGUCUGCACCCGGGAUCUGAACUGGUGAACCCCAGGCCGCUGAGAAGCAGAACAUGUGAACUUAACAGCUCUGCCACCCGGCUGGCCCCAAAUUUUUUCAGUCUUACGGAAAGAUUCUCCACUAAUCGGAUAUCAGAUUACUUGGCAGCUACAAAGAGGGAUAAUUUUGAGUGUGGAAAGCUACCUGGUGACCCUCAAUCAGACCACAUGGAGACUCGCCAACAAGAAAGAACAGCCCUGGAAGCAUGUAGUAUCUAUUCAUAAAUUACUUGACUCUGAACUCUGGAUAUGGCAAUGAUUUUAGUGGUAGCCGUAAAUCAGACAAAUACCUGAAAAUGGAGAAAAUGGGGUUUACUGUCAGCAUGCCAAAAUCACUUUAAUCAAAUAAGGAAGCACAAUUUCAAUUGAUCGUUACUUUCAUAUUAGUUUUCUUCAUUCAUUGAUCCUAAGAAUGAAUAUAAAUGAUUCCCAAAACAUUGUUUACUUUUCUUACCAUCACUCAUUGAUAUAUUGAAGUCUGCAGAUGUCCUUUGAUUCUUGGUAGCUGUUAAUUAAGCAGGUGUUCAGUUCCUCUUCAG